rnacentral:rRNA from 1 species
AAUGAACGCUGGCGGCAUGCCUAACACAUGCAAGUCGAACGACAGCAUAGUGAGAGGUGGCUCCUAGGGGUGUCGCGUGUCGGAAGGUUGACUAAUGCAUCGGAUACCUCUCUGACGGGGGUGAUAACGUAGGGAAACUUCUGCUAACACCGCAUAUAUCGUACUGGUGUAAGCACGCGUUCUUUUAACUUUGUGCGAUGGUAUGAGCCGAUGUCGGCUUCGCUCGUUGGCUGGUCAAAGGCCCACCAAAGCGACGAUCCGUAGCUGGUCUGAGAGGAUGAUCCGCCACACUGGAACUGAGACACGGCCCAGACUCCUACGGGAAGCAGCAGUGGGGAAUCUUACGCGAUGGACGAAAGCCUGAUACAGCAAUACCGCGUGAGUGAUGAAGGACUUCGGCUUGUAAAGCGCUGUUGUUGGGAAAGAAGAAAAGCUCGUUUACCCGGGGUUGUUCUGACGGUACCGAAAGAAUAAGCACCGGCUAACUCCGUG